rnacentral:rRNA from 1 species
AUGGACGCCCGCAGGAGUGCCAACGCCGUCUUGCGCCGUCCCGCGCUCAAGCUCCUCUGCACCCUGCUUCUCCUCCGGCGCGCCCCAGCUCCCUUCUCCUCCUCGCUGCUAGCUCCGCCUGCACUGGAGCACGCGAGCAGCAGUAUCCUUAUAUGCUCCCAGCUUGCACCGCGUCAUGGCCCUCCCGAGGCCAUCAUCGCGCAAACAUCUCGUCGACCUCCUGUGUCGCCGUUCUGCCUCCCCACGCCGGCAGUGAGCCCCGCUGCUGCUGCUCUUCGCCAAGCCCCGAUGACAAGCACAACCGUCUUGCGCCGUCCCUGUCGUUUUGUCUCCUUCAUCUUCAGCGCCUCGACGCCCCUCUGCUCUCCCGGCCUUGGAGGCCACCAUGCUGGCCUGCAGCUUUGCGCACGCUGUCGUGCCAUGCUACUGCUGCUUCGUCCGACCGCAGACGACCUAUGUCAAGCUCCCCCGGCCACCUUCGACCUCGGCAUGGCCCUGCCUCUACUAGCAGCCUCCUGCUGCCGGCCGUUUCCAUGGGUUCGGGAAGCCCCAAGUCUUGUCUGUGGCCUUGUGUCUGUUCAUGCUCCGUUGUUUGCUAUCUCCAUCGUCUCCCUAGGCUCGUCAAAUCUUGAACCCGGAGCCCAAGUCGGAAGACUACGUGGAUGUGCAUCUCACUUGUGGCAUUUUGGAUCAUCAAGAACAUUUCGGGAUUCGCCAAGUAACACUACAUUGGAGUCCUCGGAUCCGUCAAGUUCCACUAUGAGAUGUACAACUACCGUCGACCUCGAAGACCUCGGAAUCACCAAGUUCCCACGACGACAAGUGUAA